AAAAAAAAUCCUUUGUGAAAUAUGGAUAUUUCUCAUGAGGAUAAAGCGAUAUGGGUAUUUCACAACAGGAGCCUUUGGAUCAUUGUUUUGAUUUAGACAAAUUCAGGUUACUCUGAAUAAUUAGCAUUCCAUUGCUGAGGCUGAGACUGCUAAUGUGCCAUAUUUGUGUUUAUUUGUCUUUAUUCUUUUGUUUCAUUUUGAACAGAGCCCAUAAUGAAUAAAGACAAUACUAAACUAAAGAGAGAGAGAGAGAGAGAGAGAGCGAGAGAGAGAGAGACACAGAGUGAUUCAGAUUCCUUUCCUCUGUAUUCAUGCUGUGGUUUCUAAAUCAAAUCCAGCAAGUUCAUCUGUUCUGCUGCGAGUGACUGUAGGAAAAGAGCAGCUGUCCACAUUAUGCCUCAGUUCCAGCCUAUUUCACACAGCUGUGUUAACAACACAGAGAAAGAGAGAAUGUUACAUUCCACCCGUGUCAGUUGGACUACAUAAAGAAAUAUCACAGCUUUCGGCGUGCGUAUGUGUGUGUGUGUGUGUGUGUGUGUGUGUGUGUGUGUGUGUGUGUGUGUGUGUGUGAACGUACACACACAUGCAUCGUCUCCUCCACAAACACAGCCUGUCUGCGAGAUGUGACUUGUCUUAGAAUCGCCCACGUGGCAUCCCGAUAGAGAGCAAGAAACAUGUAACCACACACUCUCUCAUUCUCUCAAACACACAUCUGACUGCAAACAUACAAACACUUAUUCAGAAGACUCAUAAUAACAUGUCUGUCAUAGAUUGAAUAAACAAUUUUAAAUCAGUCCACGAGUCUGAGCCAAGCCGAAGUCCUUUAGAAAGAUUUAGUCUACUAAAUGACAUAGUGAGCAGAUGUGCUAACAUCUAUUUAAAUAUAGUGAGACCGAAAUGACCUGAAUGCUGAUUUUUAGAAUUGACUGUGCAUCUUGAUUUUCAGUACUUCUAUUAUAAUCUAUUUAUCUGUCUUUCCAUUCAUCCAUUUCUCCAUCUAACUCAGUAUUUAAGGUUUUAUCCACAUUUUUAUACUCCGUUAUAGUAAUUAUACAAGUAAGAGUUUGCAUCUUUAAAAUCUAUAAAGCUCUGUGUAUUAGUAUACACAUUAUGAAAACCUUCCAAACUGUGAUGUGUUUACAUGCUCCUGUGGGAAAUUUGCACAUUGUAAAUAUUUACGAGUUAUGCUUGACAUCUCAAUGUCUAAUUUAAUUCGCUCUCUCUUUCUCUCACACACGGAUAAUUUACAGUUGGGAACUGUUUACAGAUACAAUUUGUCAAUUAUGUUUGUGUAUGUUGAUAGAAAAGUAACACAUUUGUAAAAAUGAGUUAAAAUGCUUUAGUGGAUACACUUUCUUUUUUAAAUUCUGGGUUCGUGAUUAUCUGUUAAUGUAGGCGUUUUAGGAUGCUUUUAAGAGAUGUUGAAUAUUUAUGUUAUGGCAAUUAUGUAACAAGGUUACAUGCAAAAUUGAAUGCUGUGGUUAAAGAUUUGUGAUGAUAAAAUUCUUUUAAAAUAAAUUCGGUAAAAGUGCCAGUAGUAUUGUGUAACAAUCUGCUGUUAAGGUGAAUUUCUACAAAUGUGUAUUUAGGAGUGUUUCCUUAAAUCAUCUGGUAACACAUUUGGUAAUGAUUG
ensembl:lncRNA